UACAGAGGUCUCAAGCGUUGUUCGGAUUCAUUGGGCGUAAAGGGCGCGUAGGCGGCGGCGUAAGUUCGUGGUGAAAUCCCAUCGGCUCAACCGUGGAAUUGCUUCGAAUACUGCGUCGCUCGAGGGAGAUAGGGGACCGCAGAACUGCCGGUGGAGCGGUGAAAUGUGUUGAUAUCGGCGGGAAUGCCAGUGCCGAAAGGGGCGGUCUGGACCUCUUCUGACGCUGAGGCGCGAAAGCCAGGGGAGCGAACGGG
rnacentral:rRNA from 1 species